UACGUAGGGGGCUAGCGUUGUCCGGAAUCAUUGGGCGUAAGCGCGUGUAGGCGGCUUGGUAAGUCCGUUCUGAAAGCCCGGGGCUCAACCCCGGGAGGGCGGAUGGAUACUGUCAAGCUCGAGUCCGGAAGAGGCAAGUGGAAUUCCCGGUGUAGCGGUGAAAUGCGCAGAUAUCAGGAGGAACACCGGUGGCGAAGGCGGGAUUCUCCUGGGCCUGAGUACUGACGCUGGAGGAACGAAAGCGUGGGGAGCGAACAGGA
rnacentral:rRNA from 1 species